rnacentral:rRNA from 1 species
UGCGCAGGCGGGCUUGUAAGUCAGUGGUGAAAUUUUGCGGCUUAACCGUAAAACUGUCAUUGAUACUGCAAGUCUUGAAUAUGGUUGAGGUAGGCGGAAUGUGUUGUGUAGCGGUGAAAUGCAUAGAUAUGACACAGAACGCCGAUUGCGAAGGCAGCUUACUAAGCCAUGAUUGACGCUGAGGCACGAAAGCGUGGGGAGCGAACAGGAUUAGAUACCCUGGUAGUCC